UUGGAAGGAAGUAUUGACAAAUCAGAAGGUGACACGCUUCCCCGCUGUCUACCAGUCAGUGUUUCUCAUAGCCCUGGACUCCUAUGGAGAAGGCCCUGGAGAUGAAGGCUUCGGAAACAAGUCUACCAAAGGCUGAGGGGGCCACCCUUCUUCAGCUCCAUCUCCGCGGAGGAGCAGACCCCUGAGGAAUGUCUCCACGAUUCGUCGGCCCCAUCGCUCCUUUCCUGAAGACAGACCCAGCUGCGGAUUUUCUAAUGAGCUCUGUGAACCCACACCUGCUUCUACAGGGGUGACUGCUGUGAUCCUCACAAUGGCCCUCCUGGUUACUGUCUUGGGAACUGUGACAGGUCUGAUUUUAAAGAUGCAGAGUGGAAAAUUGCAAAAGCAAAAUAAAGACAUUUGGUGGCAAAUCAAUUAUGAUGACAUCACCAUUCUGCCCCAGAAUGAGCCAUCCCAGAGAGGCACACCUGUGUCGAGAGGGGACAACCGUCAUUCAUCUAGUGUGAUGAUUUCUGGGGACGCCAGUUCCUUUGUCAAGA